CCACUGAGAGUGUCUGUGGCAUGCCAAGAAGCAUCAAUUUGGCAUUCAAAUGGAGCGUCUCCUGUGAAUGUAAGAUCAAGAGGGAUCCUCACUAAUUCAACGAGGGGUUCCUCCUUAGUAUUUGCCGCCUUCCAAUCUUUCGCCUCUUGAAAGGCAUGAUCUAGCGUAUUUGGAGGAGAUUCUCGAAUAUUUUCAAAAAUGAAGCUAUUUCGAGCCUUCCAUAGAUACCAAAGUAUCCAUGGGAAAAAAUGUCCAAUUUCCUCUCCGUUCAUCAUCCCUUUUGCUCUCUAGAACGAAAAGUCCAAAUUUGCGAAAAGGGACUGACUAGGGAAGCAGGAAGGUAAUGAUGGGAUUGGUGACAGAGCCCAAGUUUGAAGCGCUGGUGGGCAUUCAAAAAGAAGGUGAUUGAUUGUUUCUUCCUCAGCGCCACAUCUUGGGCAGUGCUUCUCCUUACCGAUGUAUGAAAUUUGUAGUCUAUAAAGCAAUUUUACAUGCACCAAACAUUGUCAAAUAAACUAUAUAACAAAUAUCUCCCGAGAUUUUUU
rnacentral:lncRNA from 1 species